rnacentral:lncRNA from 1 species
UGAAACAAAUGGGGGGUACUUGACUCACAUAGUGUCUUCUAUUUUCCAAGUAGCUUCUUCAACUCUAUGAUUUCUCCAUAAGACUUUCAUGAACACGAUUUCUUUGACCAUAGUUUUCUUAUUUGUCUAUCAACAAUAGCCAUUGGCUCCUCCUCGUAAGACAACUUCUCAUCGAGUGGUAUAGUUGGUGCUUCAAUCACCUAAGAUGAGUAUGAAAUACAUUUUCAUAGCAUUGAGACGUGAAACACUGGAUGAAUAAAGGAAAACUCGUGAGGAAGUGCCAAACGAUAAGCCACCGCUCCCACUCAGUCUAGUAUCUCAUACGGUCUUAUAAACCUGGGGCUCAACUUGCCUCUUUUCCCAAACCGCAUCACACCUUUCAUGGGGGAGACUAGUAGGAACACUUUGUCUCCAAUUGUGAAUACUAAAUCUCUUUUUCUCUUAUCAGUAUAAGACCUUUGUCUACUUUGAGCUACAAGCAAUCUCUGUUUGAUCAAUUGGACCUUGUCCAUAGCUUCUUGUACUAGAU